UUUCUCUAUCUCGAAAUACGUUUGUAUCUUGAUAAUUACUUAGUUAGAUCUAUAUUAUAUAACUUUUUGGUUUCUUGUUUGUAGCACAUUUCUUAAACCCAAAUUUUCAUUAUCGACAUGAUGUUGGUUAUAGCCCACGUUUCACAAACUCUCUGGCAACAGUUGUCGAACAAUUUAACAUAAAUGGAGAAAUUGCGGAUACAUUUGUGGAUGAGAUUGUAUGCUUUAGAGAUGCAAAGGAAUCAUUUGGGUCAACCAUAGCAAGAAAAACAAGAGAAACCAGAAAUACAGCUGAUUGGUGGACACAAUGUGGGUAUUCUGCACCAAACAUGCAGAAAAUUGCAAUGCGUAUUUUUGCACAAACAGCUUCUUCUUCUGCGUGUGAGAGAAAUUGGAGUACAUUUGCUAUUAUUCAUACCAAGCAAAGGAACCGUUUGGCAUAUCAGAAGUUGGAAAAGCUUGUAUACUACUACUACAACAUGAAGCUGCGGCUGCGAGAUAAACAGGCAAAGAAUAAUGUG